rnacentral:rRNA from 1 species
AAUGGGGGCAACCCUGAUCUAGCCGUGCCGCGUGAGUGAUGAAGGCCUUAGGGUCGUAAAGCUCUUUCGCCUGUGAUGAUAAUGACAGUAGCAGGUAAAGAAACCCCGGCUAACUCCGUGCCAGCAGCCGCGGUAAUACGGAGGGGGUUAGCGUUGUUCGGAAUUACUGGGCGUAAAGCGCGCGUAGGCGGAUUAGAAAGUUGGGGGUGAAAUCCCGGGGCUCAACCCCGGAACUGCCUCCAAAACUGCUAGUCUAGAGUUCGAGAGAGGUGAGUGGAAUUCCGAGUGUAGAGGUGAAAUUCGUAGAUAUUCGGAGGAACACCAGUGGCGAAGGCGGCUCGCUGGCUCGAUACUGACGCUGAGGUGCGAAAGUGUGGGGAGCAAACAGGAUU